rnacentral:rRNA from 1 species
AUAUUGGGGAGAGACCGAUAGCGAACAAGUACCGUGAGGGAAAGAUGAGAAGCACUUUGGAAAGAGAGUUAAACAGUACGUGAAAUUGUCGAAAGGGAAGCGCUUGAAGUUAGACAUGCCUAUUAGGAUUCAGCCUUGCUUUUGCUUGGUGUAUUUCCUGGUAAGCAGGCCAGCAUCAGUUUUGUCUGUCGGAUAAGGGUAGGAGGAAUGUGGCCCCUCGGGGUGUUAUAGCCUCUUACUGGAUACGGCGGAUGGGACUGAGGACCGCAGUGCGCCUUUAUGGCGGGCCUUUUGGCACCUUCGCACUUAGGAUGCUGGCGUAAUGGCUUUAAGCGACCCGUCUUGAAACACGGACC